GGAACUCUGUAGACUGGGCUGCCCUUAAA
rnacentral:piRNA from 1 species